AAAAGUGAAUCUCAUUAAUUGAAGGUGAUUUGUGAAAGAUUCAUACUAAGAAAAAAAAAUAAAAUAAAAUAAAAUGGAGGACAUGUGUCAUUAGCAAGUAUGAGCCACUUACAUUUAUUCUAAAGAUAAAACCUAAACCUCCAUGCAUGCUUGCCACCUCACUAUUUUAGCAUGAGCCAAACCUAGAUAAUUUAAGGCACAAUUGAGGUAAACUUUAC
rnacentral:lncRNA from 1 species